rnacentral:lncRNA from 1 species
UUUUGAGAUUGUUGUUUUGUUUUUUUUUUAGUUGGUUUAGUUAAAAUUUUAGUUUUUUUUUUUUAUAGAAAGAUAGGUAGAACGCUACCCGUUUCGCUAAAAAUGUGAAUCAACUAGGAUUCAAACUUGGAUCUCGGGUACCAACUACCAAACCCUUUGCCACUUGCUCUAGGGACAGUCGAUUAGUUAAAAUUUUAGUUAAAUAUAUAUUGGUUGUGUUAGAGACUGUUUGGUUUACUUGUGGGGAAAAAAAAAAAUUUCAGGGAACUUCUUUUUUAGUUAAAAAAAAAAAUAGUUUAUUUGGAAAGCUUUUAAAAAAAAAAUGAAAAAUAAAAA